GACGAACGCUGGCGGCGUGCUUAACACAUGCAAGUCGUACGGUAAGGCCCUUUCGGGGGUACACGAGUGGCGAACGGGUGAGUAACACGUGAGUAACCUGCCCACAACUUUGGGAUAACGCUAGGAAACUGGUGCUAAUACUGGAUAUGUGCUCCUGCUGCAUGGGGGGGGUUGGAAAGCUCCGGCGGUUGUGGAUGGACUCGCGGCCUAUCAGCUUGUUGGUGGGGUAGUGGCCUACCAAGGCGGCGACGGGUAGCCGGCCUGAGAGGGUGACCGGCCACAUUGGGACUGAGAUACGGCCCAGACUCCUACGGGAGGCAGCGGUGGGGAAUAUUGCACAAUGGGCGCAAGCCUGAUGCAGCAACGCCGCGUGCGGGAUGACGGCCUUCGGGUUGUAAACCGCUUUCAGCAGGGACGAAGCUUUUUGUGACGGUACCUGCAGAAGAAGCACCGGCUAACUACGUG
rnacentral:rRNA from 1 species